CUGGGUGCGGCUGAUGACAAUGCUGCUGCUGAGGCUCAGUGAUUGCUCAGUCUCGAAGUAAACGCCCUGACGCUCCAUGA